CAAGAACACAGAGGAGGGAGUGAAUAAUUGUGACAUGUUACUUGGAGAUGCAUCAGGACAAGAGCCACUGGAGAUACUUUACUGCAAGGCUCCAACAAUGUCCCUAAGAGGCUUCAUCUUGGCCGAGAAUCUUCCAUUAAAAGCUGUUGGUUGGAUGAGUGGCAGCUUCCGAGCAAAGUUUCUGAGACGUAGAUCUGGCCAUCGUCUGUAAGAUGCACUGCAAUAGGCUGCUGCCAAGAGGAAAUGAAUAGUGUCUUUUGAGAUAUUCACAGACAUCCGGUACGGACUGGGGAGCUUGCUUUGAGAGCCAGCAUUUAGUCUAUUUUCUGUAUUUGAACCAUUCUGGACAAAGGCUGCCCCCAACGCUGUGACAGGGCCUUCCCGCACACCAGAUGCAGGACAGCUCUUCCUCCCCGCUCUCUGCAAACACUUGUCCUCAUCCUCCCAUCCUGCUCCUGCUGGUUUCUUGCUCUGGCACCUGGGCGAGUAUGCAGGUGUGCGGCGGGUGUUGUGCCCUCAGCCUCUGCUCCCUACUCAGCACAGGGGACAUCCCAGGACAGGGAAGAAUCUGCUCUAUGACGAGGUGUAAACACCCCGUGGUGCAGCAGUUUCCCGGCCAGCUGUCCUCCUGCAGACCCACCAUGGAAAAGAAUGAGCCCUUGCGCCAACCCUCACACCUCAUGUGUGUGCUGGACAUUCUACAAAAGUUUUGCAGGCCACUCUCACAGUGCCAGUACAAGAGCACGCUUACAGAUGUAAUUCUAGUCACACUUUCCUCCCGACUUGUAAGUGGCUGCAGCAGUAAUGUAUUUGCACGGACCCACUCCCACCCAAUUUCCUUAGUGUCAGAUGCUCUGUGUCCGAGCCCACACGGAGCCUCUCAUCUCUGUGGGAAAUAAAGACAUUCUAGGGGCCUUCACCUUCUACUCAGCCAACUUCAUCCCUAAGGCUUAGGAGACAGGGGUGCUGGCCUUGCUCUCUGUUGAGACCGACCCUUUCUCUGGUGAUAUCUCCCACUGGAGUCUGCUCUUUCCUGCCCCAAAGGACCGAGUCCUGACUUUGUAUCUCCAGCAUGUACAAGUUCCUGUUCCUUGUUGGCUGCGCCUUCUCAGGUUCUUCAUCCUUUAGCCAGUUUUCAGUGUCAUAAGGUACCACCGCCGUGAAGAGGUGAAUGGGUGAGCUGGCGGGUGGCGGGGGCUGAGGGGAGAGCCCCACAGCCAGCUGGCAUGAGGCUGCCCACCUGCCGCUGAGCUGGGGCAUCUUUCUGUGGGUCACAGUGUCCCUUCUUCCCCGGAAGUUAGCCCUUGCUGUCUUUACCCCUGCAUGUGCCUCCAUCCUCACAACUGGACUUCUGUCUUCCCUCCCCCGGGCUCCCCUCACCACCCAGUGCACCUCAGAGUCUCACCGGGGUCUCAGGCCGCAGCUAACCUGCCAGUCGAGGAGCAGGGAGCACAGGAGAGCCGAAGCCCGGUGACCAGGCAGGGCUGGCCUCCGCAGGGGUCAGGAAGCUGCGUCCACACAGCUAGAAGCUCCGUCCGUGAGGGGCUCCCCGGCUGCUCGUUGGCCUGUCAGGUCUACUUUCUUUCCCACCAACACACCCAGAGUGUGACCAGGUACAAGGUCCCAAAACUAUGCCAGGAAGAACCUUCCUGACAGUUCCUAGGACGUGGUGGCUCUCUUGUUUCCCUCAUGCUAGGUUGGCUUUACAGAACACAAGAAAUAAAGUUGCUUUGUCAGAGUAUUGAAAAUAAAGU
ensembl:lncRNA